UUUAUAUACUUUAAAUAAAAUACUCUUUGAAGAUUUUUUGUAAAUUACAUUUUAUAUUAAUUUAAGUCUAAACAAAAGUUACUUUAAUCAUUGCCAGGUUGUGUAUUUUUGCAGGUCAAUUAUUUGGCACAAAUCGGAGUUAAAGACAAAGGAGAUUGAAUAUUUUAUUUGCUAAGAAUAGUUUUUUAAAAUGACCUAGUUGUAAAAUUAAACUAUGCAGGGAGAUGACAAAAAAUUGGAAUAGAAAAAAUGUUGAUUGCAUAUGCUGCUAUUGAAACUGUGAAGUCAAAUAAGCAUGGCUUAUGCAGACAUGUGAUAAAGAUAGAGGAA
rnacentral:lncRNA from 1 species